UGAGUUAUAGCUUAUAUAAAGCUUAUUACUUACAUUAAUACGAAAAUUUUUAUUUAACUCUA
rnacentral:tRNA from 2 species